rnacentral:rRNA from 1 species
UACGUAGGGUGCGAGCGGUAAUCGGAUUUACUGGGCGUAAAGCGUGCGCAGGCGGCCCGUUAAGACAGGUGUGAAAUCCCUGGGCUCAACCUAGGAAUUGCGCUUGUGACUGGCGGGCUCGAGUACGGUAGAGGGGGGUGGAAUUCCUGGUGUAGCAGUGAAAUGCGUAGAGAUAAGGAGGAACACCGAUGGCGAAGGCAGCCCCCUGGGCCUGUACUGACGCUCAUGCACGAAAGCGUGGGGAGCAAACAGG